rfam:Firmicutes bacterium CAG:137_57_8 Ley3_66761_scaffold_10635, whole genome shotgun sequence.
UGACCGCUUUCCUCCGGAAAGCUGAGGCUACACGGACGGCCGGGUCAAAUGCCGA